AAUCAUCGAAGGCGCACUCCUCCUCCCAGCGCCUUGGAUGGGACCGACAACACCUCCUCCUCCCAGUUGUUGGUCAGUAUCGGAAACCCGGCGCACCUCCUCCCGCGCCGGGUUUUCUGU
rnacentral:sRNA from 1 species